rnacentral:rRNA from 1 species
GAUGAACGCUGGCGGCGUGCCUAAUACAUGCAAGUCGAGCGAACAGACGAGGAGCUUGCUCCUCUGACGUUAGCGGCGGACGGGUGAGUAACACGUGGAUAACCUACCUAUAAGACUGGGAUAACUUCGGGAAACCGGAGCUAAUACCGGAUAAUAUCUUGAACCGCAUGGUUCAAUAGUGAACGACGGUUUUGCUGUCACUUAUAGCUGGAUCCGCGCCGCAUUAGCUAGUUGGUAAGGUACCGGCUUACCAAGGCAACGAUGCGUAGCCGACCUGAGAGGGUGAUCGGCCACACUGGAACUGAGACACGGUCCAGACUCCUACGGGAGGCAGCAGUAGGGAAUCUUCCGCAAUGGGCGAAAGCCUGACGGAGCAACGCCGCGUGAGUGAUGAAGGUCUUCGGAUCGUAAAACUCUGUUAUUAGGGAAGAACAAAUGUGUAAGUAACUAUGCACGUCUUGACGGUACCUAAUCAGAAAGCCACGGCUAACUACGUG